CCUACGGGUGGCAGCAGUGGGGAAUAUUCCACAAUGGGGGAAACCCUGAUGCAGCGACGCCGCGUGAGCGAUGAAGUAUUUCGGUACGUAAAGCUCUAUCAUCAGGGAAGAAAAUGACGGUACCUGACUAAUAAGCCCCGUCUAACUACGUGCCAGCAGCCGCCGUAAUAAGUAGGGGGCAAGCGUUGUCCGGAUUUACUGGGUGGAAAGGUAGCCUGGACGGCGGUGCAAUGCAGAAAUGAAAGGCUGGGGGCUAAACCAGGGAAUGCAUUUGGAACUGUACUACUAGAGUGUCAGAGAGGAAGGCGGAAUUCCAAGUGUAGCGGUGAAAUGCGUAGAUAUUAGGAGGAACACCAGUGGCGAAGGCGGCCUGCUGG
rnacentral:rRNA from 1 species